UCGUGAUAAAUAAUAAAGUAAUUUUAACCGUGAGCCAUUAUAUGGAAUAAUGCUUAAAGCCUAAACAUAUGUUUUGUAUCGAAUAAAAUUUGCAUUUAUUCAACACAAGUAUUCGAGAUGGGGAAAGUCGGGAUGAAAUAUGUACACAUAUGUCGUUUUCAUUGGAAACGAUAAGCUACGAGUCUGAUUUUAAGGUUAUAAAAAAAUUCUUUUCUUCUCGCGAUAUAAACGCCUUAAACUAAGCAGUUUAUAAAAUAUCCGUGGUCGAAUAUCGAAACUCCUCGAUGCGUCGAAAUAGAUUUAGAUCGACAGUCUAUCUAUCGAUUUGUAAAAAUUUAAGUAUAAUUAAUUAAGAAAAAAAAAAAAAAAGAGAACGGAUAUGUCGCGAAAUUACGUUUUUAAUUAUGUUUUCAUCCGAUCACGGAUAUAUGCGCACAAAUGUACGUAAAUGGCAUCGUUAAUUCGAUGAAUCAAAUUUUUUCCUUCCAAUCGACUCGAUUCGUUUAUCCACGGGCAUUUUCGCGAUCUAUAAUGAUAUUUGUGAUACUAGAUAAUUUUUAAUCUUAUCGGUAUUAUCGGUAUAACGAAACCAAACAUCAAUCGUAAGCUUUUCUUCCUUCGCUUUCUCGAGAAACAAAUCACGAAUGACCACACGAUAGUACGAGAUUUGAUUAAUUAUCUUUACCGUGUACUAUCUCGAUUACGAUUAAAUCGUGACUGAUCGAUAUGCGUACGAUAUCCUACGCAUAUGCUUGUAACGGGAGAUAAUGCGUUAAGAUAUGUGACCGAUCCUCCGGAACAUGGCGAUCAAAUUCGCAAUUAUGUUGUUCGUUCGAAAAUGUUGCUAAUCGUGCGAUCUUAUAAGGUUUUCUAUAGAACGGAGACGCGAAAAAAAGUGAACGUGUUUGUAAACGAAAAAGAAAAUAUCGAACGAGAGAGGGAGUAAAAGUGGAGAGAGUAAAAAAAAAAAGUAAUUUGACGAACGAAAAGUUAGACGGAUGAUGGGAAAUCAAACGGAAAAUAGAGGAACAAAAAAAAAUCUUAGUUUAUAACAUAGAGGACUGCAGAGAGUAUUUUUUCUAGGAAUGUUAGUGGACCAGCCAAACAAAAAGAAUACAAAAAUAAAUAAAUAAAUAAAUAAAUAAAUAAAAUAAAAAAA